rfam:Brachypodium distachyon strain Bd21 chromosome 2, whole genome shotgun sequence.
ACUCCUGGGUGACCGAUAGCGAAAUAGUACCGAGAGGGAAAGGUGAAAAGAACCCCCAGUGGGUAGUGAAAUAGAACGUGAAA